rnacentral:rRNA from 1 species
CUACGGGACGCAGCAGUGAGGGAUAUUGCACAAUGGGGGAACCCUGAUGCAGCAACGCCGCGUGGAGGAUGACGCAUUUCGGUGUGUAAACUCCUUUUAUAUGUCAAGAAAAUGACGGUAGCAUAUGAAUAAGCACCGGCUAACUCCGUGCCAGCAGCCGCGGUAAUACGGAGGGUGCAAGCGUUACUCGGAAUCACUGGGCGUAAAGGACGCGUAGGCGGGUUGGAAAGUCAGGUGUGAAAUCCUACAGCUUAACUGUAGAACUGCACUUGAAACUUCUAAUCUAGAGUAUGGGAGGGGGAGAUGGAAUUAGUGGUGUAGGGGUAAAAUCCGUAGAUAUCACUAGGAAUACCUAAAGCGAAGGCGAUCUCCUGGAACAUUACUGACGCUAAGGCGUGAAAGCGUGGGGAGCAAACAGGAUUAGAUACCCCAGUAGUC